UAAAUCUCGAAAGUUUUUAUGUAAAUACCAUUAAUAAUUAAUAAUAAUAAAUUAGUUGUAUGUUAAGUUCAAACUUUCAAUUAAAAUAAUCUUUUAGAUCAUUGUAAAUAUAUGAAAAUAUUUUUUCAUUGCUAAAAUUGUAUUUCCCACUAUAGUUAUUACACUUAUUGUUCGGAUAUUGAUUUACAGUUUCCUGGUGAAUCUUCAGAAAAAAAAGAAGAAUCUGUUAAUGAUGUAGUUCCUAAAGAUAUAACUGACUUAUAUGAAAAAAUGGAUAAAGUAGAAGAAGAAGAAGAUGAAAAAACACAAAAUCUCGUAUCAUUUGAAGUUCAACAAGAGAAAAUCGAAAUCAUUCAAAAACGCUGUAUAGAAAUUGAUACACCUCUAUUGGUUGAAUAUGAUUUUAAAAACGAUAAAGUCAAUAAAGAUAUUAAGUAUGAUAAAAUACAUUUAGUAUUGGUCAAAUUGAAGGUAUUUUCAUUUUUUUUUUUACAGCAUUGAUUUAAAACCUCAUGCAACAUUAAGACCUUAUCAAGAAAAAAGCUUAAGAAAAAUGUUUGGAAAUAGUCGUGCAAGAUCNGUAU